UACGGGGGGGGCAAGCGUUUGUUCGGAAUUACUGGGCGUAAAGGGCUCGUAGGCGGCCAACUAAGUCCGACGUGAAAUCCCCAGGCUUAACCUGGGAACUGCGUCGGAUACUGGAUGGCUUGAAUCCGGGAGAGGGAUGCGGAAUUCCAGGUGUAGCGGUGAAAUGCGUAGAUAUCUGGAGGAACACCGGUGGCGAAGGCGGCAUCCUGGACCGGCAUUGACGCUGAGGAGCGAAAGCCAGGGGAGCAAACGGG
rnacentral:rRNA from 1 species